CAACGGCCGCGGUAUCAUGACCGUGCAAAGGUAGCGUAAUCACUUGUCUUUUAAAUAAAGACCUGUAUGAAAGGCAAAACGAAAGUUCAACUGUCUCUCUAAUCCAAUCAAUGAAAUUUAUCUUUUCGUGCAGAAGCGAAAAUAAGUAUAUAAGACGAGAAGACCCUAUGGAGCUUUAAACACACUACUAACUAUCCUACAAUAUUCUAACCAAUAGGCAAAACUAUAGACCACAUAGCCAUAGUAUAAGUUUUAGGUUGGGGCGACCACGAAGAAAAAAAAAUCCUUCGAGAUAAACAAUUUAGAACAACACUUCAAAAAUUAAAACAUUUAUUAUAAAUGAUCCACUAAGUGACCAACGAACCAAGUUACCCUAGGGAUAACAGCGCAAUCCUUUCUAAGAGUCCAUAUCGACGAAUGGGUUUACGACCUCGAUGUUGGAUCAGGACACCCAAAUGGUGCAGAAGCUAUUAAAGGUUCGUUUGUUCAACGAUUAAAGUCCUAC
rnacentral:rRNA from 1 species